CUCUGUUUGCAACAACUUUAAAAAAUGAGCUAGCCCCCAUCCCCCUUUUAUCAGAAGCAUAAUCUCACAUAAGUACAAAAGACAGUGGCAGAACUGCAUUUCCAAGAUGCUUGAUGUGAUCAGCAUUAAUUGUCUUUAAUACAGCAGUGAACAGCAGGAAAUUCAAGGAGAUGAGAUCCCAGGAGUGUGAAGGGUAAACAGUGCUCCUGGCUCAGACCUCUCUAUCACCCCUGCUC